CCUACGGGGGGCUGCAGUGGGGAAUAUUGGACAAUGGGGGCAACCCUGAUCCAGCCAUGCCGCGUGUGUGAAGAAGGCCCUCGGGUUGUAAAGCACUUUCAGUGAGGAAGAACGCCUGGUGGUUAAUACCCAUCAGGAAAGACAUCACUCACAGAAGAAGCACCGGCUAACUCCGUGCCAGCAGCCGCGGUAAUACGGAGGGUGCGAGCGUUAAUCGGAAUUACUGGGCGUAAAGCGCGCGUAGGUGGCUUGAUAAGCCGGUUGUGAAAGCCCCGGGCUCAACCUGGGAACGGCAUCCGGAACUGUCAAGCUAGAGUGCAGGAGAGGAGGGUAGAAUUCCCGGUGUAGCGGUGAAAUGCGUAGAGAUCGGGCGGAAUACCAGUGGCGAAGGCGGCCUUCUGGCCUGACACUGACACUGAGGUGCGAAAGCGUGGGUAGCAAACAGGAUUAGAUACCCCGGUAGUC
rnacentral:rRNA from 1 species